rnacentral:tRNA from 1 species
AUAAAUUUCAUUGUUGCCGGUAAUGACAUGUAGAAUAGGACUCUAUCUUUAUUCUCGUCCGAUUAAUUAG